AAUCUUCUCAUCCAUGCUAUAAUUUUUUUUACAUUGAUUUAUUUGUGGCUCUAUCUCAUAAAUGCAUCAUUUUCUUUAGGUUGGAAAGGAUGUGAUAUUAUAUGCCUUGCUGCGAUCUGAUGUAACAGUGGCUAAGGGAACAAUUAUUUCAACUGAUCCAAAGAGCACGCUAGGAGAUGUGGCUCUUGGAAAUCAGUAUUGUGAAGUGGUUGUGAAUGUUGUGCUGAAAAGGGAUACAGUUCUGCCUCGUCUUUAUGGUUAUGUGGAGACUAUGGCUGAUGCACAUAAGAUGUCAAUUGCAUGGCCAUACAAAAGAUUGAAGGUUACCAAAGGAUCACAAUCUACCCAAGGUGGGAGGUCUUAGAGGUGGCAUGAUGGUUGAUCAUGUAAGCAAUAAGGGGAUCAGCGCUCAUGGACACUUAUUUUGGGCAGUGCUUAUGGGCAUUUUUAUUUUGGGUAGUGCUCAUUUGGAAUAUCUAGGCUGGCUUCUAUUAUUUUGUAAAUGUGGGCAUGUGGCUGCUGCUUGUAAUGUGGUCUGUGACAAACCCAACAGACUAUCUAGCUAGCUUGACUUGAGCACUAUGACAUCACAAAUGAUGUCUAUGAUGAAGCUUUGCCAACCAAUUAUGUAUUGUUGAAUAUAUGUAGGAUUCAUAUGAAAACUAUGAGCUCUAUUUUAGUCAAUACUAUGUUUGAUAUCUGUUGGAUUCAAAUGAAAAACAUGAUCUAUAUAUCUUUA